rnacentral:tRNA from 1 species
GCUGAUGUGGCGGAAUGGCAGACGCAGUGGACUCAAAAUCCACCGACCACAAAUCGUGAGGGUUCGAGUCCCUCCAUCAGCACCA